CAGUGUUACUGAUGGGGUUUCAUUUGCCAGUGAGUUUCCCGCACACAAACACGCACUCCCUGGCAAUGAGCUGAAGACCUUCCAUUCCAUCAGAUGAGCCAUGCGUCACUUCCUCCUCCCAGCUGCUGAUGCCUUCUCCACCUGGAUGGCUUUAUAACACGUCUCCCCUGCCUCAGCUCUACAUCUCACUCUUGCAGACAGCAUGCUGUUGCUUCCCUUACUCGUUGUGACUUCACUUUGGUCCCGUGGGGAUGCACAGGCUGCACCGGUGCAAAGCCCAGCAGAGCGCAGGCUGGUGGAGGGCAGCCCAGUCACCAUGACGUGCCAGCUGAGCAGUGGAACCACUGUGCACUGGUACAGGCAGCUUCCCGGGGAGCCACCCAAGAGGAUACUGUACAUGUCUGGAUCCUCACCUACCUUCGAUGACAACAAGGACGGAUUUAAAUUUCGAGUGCAGAAAAAUCCUUCCAGCAGUGUUCUGACAAUAGAGAAAGCAACCCGGAGGGAUACCGGUACUUAUCUCUGUGCAUAUUGGUAUUACCAAGGCUACACAGCAUUAGAUGGGCAAAGAUAA